CAUGCAAGUCGAGCGGUAGCACGGGAGAGCUUGCUCUCUGGGUGACGAGCGGCGGACGGGUGAGUAAUGUCUGGGAAACUGCCUGAUGGAGGGGGAUAACUACUGGAAACGGUAGCUAAUACCGCAUGAUGUCGCAAGACCAAAGUGGGGGACCUUCGGGCCUCACGCCAUCGGAUGUGCCCAGAUGGGAUUAGCUAGUAGGUGGGGUAAUGGCUCACCUAGGCGACGAUCCCUAGCUGGUCUGAGAGGAUGACCAGCCACACUGGAACUGAGACACGGUCCAGACUCCUACGGGAGGCAGCAGUGGGGAAUAUUGCACAAUGGGCGCAAGCCUGAUGCAGCCAUGCCGCGUGUGUGAAGAAGGCCUUAGGGUUGUAAAGCACUUUCAGCGAGGAGGAAGGCGUUGUAGUUAAUAGCUGCAGCGAUUGACGUUACUCGCAGAAGAAGCACCGGCUAACUCCGUGCCAGCAGCCGCGGUAAUACGGAGGGUGCAAGCGUUAAUCGGAAUUACUGGGCGUAAA
rnacentral:rRNA from 1 species